AACCUAAAACAAUGAAAGCCCUGCCUCUCUCCCAUCCAUACGGUUCCUAGACCGUGCCUGCGAGAAUCAGAUA
rnacentral:sRNA from 1 species